AAAGAUGAGUUCUCUUUUUGGUAAGACCCCUUGUAGACUACGAGGUUGAUAGGACGCAGGUGGAAGCGUGGCAACACGUGCAGCCGAGCGUUACUAAUCGGUCGAGCUCUUUAUCUAA
rnacentral:rRNA from 1 species